rnacentral:rRNA from 1 species
GAUGAACGCUGGCGGCGUGCCUAAUACAUGCAAGUCGAGCGAACAGACGAGGAGCUUGCUCCUCUGACGUUAGCGGUGGACGGGUGAGUAACACGUGGAUAACCUACCUAUAAGACUGGGAUAACUUCGGGAAACCGGAGCUAAUACCGGAUAACAUGUUGAACCGCAUGGUUCAACAGUGAAAGACGGUCUUGCUGUCACUUAUAGAUGGAUCCGCGCCGCAUUAGCUAGUUGGUAAGGUAACGGCUUACCAAGGCAACGAUGCGUAGCCGACCUGAGAGGGUGAUCGGCCACACUGGAACUGAGACACGGUCCAGACUCCUACGGGAGGCAGCAGUAGGGAAUCUUCCGCAAUGGGCGAAAGCCUGACGGAGCAACGCCGCGUGAGUGAAGAAGGUCUUCGGAUCGUAAAACUCUGUUAUUAGGGAAGAACAAAUGUGUAAGUAACUAUGCACGUCUUGACGGUACCUAAUCAGAAAGCCACGGCUAACUACGUGCCAGCAGCCGCGGUAAUACGUAGGUGGCAAGCGUUAUCCGGAAUUAUUGGGCGUAAAGCGCGCGUAGGCGGUUUUUUAAGUCUGAUGUGAAAGCCCACGGCUCAACCGUGGAGGGUCAUUGGAAACUGGAAAACUUGAGUGCAGAAGAGGAAAGUGGAAUUCCAUGUGUAGCGGUGAAAUGCGCAGAGAUAUGGAGGAACACCAGUGGCGAAGGCGACUUUCUGGUCUGUAACUGACGCUGAUGUGCGAAAGCGUGGGGAUCAGACAGG